rnacentral:rRNA from 1 species
UGGCUCCUACGGGGGGCAGCAGUGAGGAAUAUUGGUCAAUGGACGCAAGUCUGAACCAGCCAUGCCGCGUGCAGGAUGACGGCUCUAUGAGUCGUAAACUGCUUUUGUACGAGGGUAAACCCCGAUACGUGUAUCGGGUUGAAAGUAUCGUACGAAUAAGGAUCGGCUAACUCCGUGCCAGCAGCCGCGGUAAUACGGAGGAUCCGAGCGUUAUCCGGAUUUAUUGGGUUUAAAGGGUGCGUAGGCGGUUUUUUAAGUUAGUGGUUAAACGUCGGGGCUUCACCUUGAUUUGCCAUUAAUACUGU